rnacentral:rRNA from 1 species
ACCAUGCUGAAUAUACCGGUUCUCGUUAGAUCACCGAAGUCAAGCAUCAUUGGGCGCGGUCAGUACUUGGGUGGGUGACCACCUGGGAACACCGCGUGCCGU